rnacentral:rRNA from 1 species
UUGGGAAUAUUGGACAAUGGGGGAAACCUUGAUCCAGUGACGCCGCGUGAAGGAAGAAGGUCUUCGGAUUGUAAACUUAUUUUAUCAGGGAAGAAAAAAAUGACUGUACCUGAAGAAGAAGCACCGGCUAACUACGUGCC